GGAGAGUUGGCUGAGUGGUCGAAGGCGCACGACUGGAAAUCGUGUUUACGUUAACCCGUAACUAGGGUUCAAAUCCCUAACUCUCCGCCA
rnacentral:tRNA from 1 species